UACGUAGGGGGCAAGCGUUGUCCGGAAUCAUUGGGCGUAAAGCGCGUGUAGGCGGCUCGAUAAGUCUGCUGUGAAAGUUCAGGGCUCAACCCUGAAAUGCCGGUGGAAACUGUCGAGCUAGAGUCCGGAAGAGGCGAGUGGAAUUCCUGGUGUAGCGGUGAAAUGCGCAGAUAUCAGGAGGAACACCAAUGGCGAAGGCAGCUCGCUGGGCCUGUACUGACGCUGAGGAGCGAAAGCGUGGGGAGCAAACAGG
rnacentral:rRNA from 1 species